rnacentral:rRNA from 1 species
AACGAACGCUGGCGGCAUGCCUAACACAUGCAAGUCGAACGAGACCUUCGGGUCUAGUGGCGCACGGGUGCGUAACGCGUGGGAACCUGCCCUUAGGUUCGGAAUAACUCCCCGAAAGGGGUGCUAAUACCGGCUAAUGUCUUCGGACCAAAGAUUUAUCGCCUUUGGAUGGGCCCGCGUUGGCUUAGCUAGUUGGUAGGGUAAAAGCCUACCAAGGCGACGAUCCAUAGCUGGUCUGAGAGGAUGAUCAGCCACACUGGGACUGAGACACGGCCCAGACUCCUACGGGAGGCAGCAGUGGGGAAUAUUGGACAGUGGGCGAAAGGCUGAUCCAGCAAUGCCGCGUGAGUGAUGAAGGCCUUAGGGUUGUAAAGCUCUUUUACCCGGGAUGAUAAUGACAGUACCGGGAGAAUAAGCUCCGGCUAACUCCGUG